rnacentral:rRNA from 1 species
UACAGAGGUGGCAAGCGUUGUUCGGAAUUACUGGGCGUAAAGGGCGCGUAGGCGGUCUUGCAAGUCCUGUGUGAAAUCCCUCGGCUCAACCGAGGAACUGCCUCGGAAACUGCAUGGCUUGAGGCCGGGAGAGGGUAGCGGAAUUCCCAGUGUAGCGGUGAAAUGCGUAGAGAUGCGGAGGAACACCGAUGGCGAAGGCAGCCCCCUGGGCCAACACUGACGCUCAGGCACGAAAGCGUGGGGAGCAAACAGG